rnacentral:rRNA from 1 species
GUGAGGAAUAUUGCGCAAUGGGCGAAAGCCUGACGCAGCGACGCCGCGUGGACGAUGAAGGCCUUCGGGUUGUAAAGUCCUGUCAGGAGGGACGAAGCGGACUUGUCCGUGACGGUACCUCGGUAGGAAGCUCCGGCUAACUACGUGCCAGCAGCCGCGGUAAGACGUAGGGGGCUAGCGUUGUCCGGAAUCACUGGGCGUAAAGAGCUCGUAGGCGGUCUGUUUAGUCGGGUGUGAAAGCCCUCGGCUCAACCGAGGAAUUGCAUUCGAUACUGGCAGGCUAGAGUCUAGCAGAGGGAAGUGGAAUUCCCGGUGUAGCGGUGAAAUGCGCAGAUAUCGGGAAGAACACCGGUGGCGAAGGCGGCUUCCUGGGCUAUGACUGACGCUGAGGAGCGAAAGCUAGGGGAGCGAACAGGAUUAGAAACCCCUGUAGUCC